CAAAGAUACACUGUCACCCACAUAUGACAUUUGAUUGCUUCCUGGAUCCAUGGGUUUGAGUGGGGAAAACAUCUCCAUCCACGCCUAUGAGGUUUCCUGUGUUUGCCCAAAUCAUGUCCGAAAUAGAACAUCUAGUUAGCAAUCAAGCACCAGUUGGAGCUGUUUACUACUGAACGCAUGGUUUUAAUUUUGAAGCCCUCACUCCAUUGUUCUUCAGCACUGUGAAUGGCUUAGAACUCAGCUAACUACAUCUCCCACUUUGGCUUGGGAAACCAAGAGCAGAUCUGACUUCAACUGCAAGCAGUGUGCUGGCACUUCCUCAGUCCUCCGUGAAAUGUUAAAGGAUAACAGAUGUAACCCUGCAAAACUUCAACCAAUUCCGCAAGUUCCCUCUGAACUCUAUGGGAAUGAUGAAGCCAGGGUCAAUGUAGGGCCAAGAAAACUGGGACCUGGCUACUUAGACUUGACUCUAAGAAAGAAGAAAAGUCGACAUCAAGACACCUGUUUCCAGAAGCCUGGCUGGGUUCAUGAAACAGGAAGAAUGACGAUUGUCUCGGGCAAAAGCACUGUGUGACUGAAUGUCACAGGACAUCAUUUCUACUUGGAAGAAUGACUUCACAAACUGCGGUUAUUCAAACUAAGGGUUUGGAAGACAUUUUCCUGAAAGUGAACGAAGUGUGACUGUCACUUCAGGGAAAUCAAUUGGCAGUGUC